UGACGCUGGCCGGCUGCUUACACUUACAAGUCGAACGGCAGCACCGAGCUUGCUCUGGUGGCGAGUGGCAGGAUGAGUAAUAUAUCGGAACGUACCAAGAGUGGGGGAUAACGUAGCGAAAGUUACGCUAAUACCGCAUACGAUCUAAGGAUGAAAGCAGGGACCGCAAGCCUUUGUGCUCCUGAGCGGCCGAUAUCUGAUUAGCUAUUGGUGAGGUAAAAGGCUCACCAAGGGCAUCGAUCAGUACUGGUCUGAAGGACGACCACCACACUGGAACUGAACACGGUCCAACUCCUACGGGAGGCAGCAGUGGGGAAUUUUGGACAAUGGGGGCAACCCUGAUCCAGCAAUGCCGCGUGAGUGAAGAAGGCCUUCGGGUUGUAAAGCUCUUUUGUCAGGGAAGAAACGGUGAAGGCUAAUAUCCUUUGCUAAUGACGGUACCUGAAGAAUAAGCACCGGGCUAACUACGUGCCAGCAGCCGCGGUAAUACGUAGGUGCAAGCGUUAUCGGAAUUACUGGGCGUAAAGCGUGCGCAGGCGGUUUUUGUAAGACUGUCGUGAAAUCCCCGGGCUCAACUGGGAAUGGCGAUGGUGACUGC
rnacentral:rRNA from 1 species